rnacentral:tRNA from 1 species
GACCUGGUAGCUCAGUCGGUAGAGCACAACCCUUUUAAGGUUGGGGUCCUGGGUUCAAAUCCCAGCCAGGUCA